rnacentral:rRNA from 1 species
UACAGAGGGUGCGAGCGUUAAUCGGAUUUACUGGGCGUAAAGGGCGCGUAGGCGGGCUGUCAAGUCUGGGGUGAAAUCCCGCGGCUCAACCGCGGAACUGCCUCGGAUACUGACGGUCUCGAGGGGGGUAGGGGCGAGCGGAACUGAUGGUGGAGCGGUGGAAUGCGCAGAUAUCAGGAGGAACACCAACGGCGAAGGCAGCUCGCUGGGACGGUACUGACGCUAAGGCGCGAAAGCGUGGGGAGCGAACAGG